rnacentral:misc_RNA from 1 species
GAGCGUAGACAUCCGCUAAGAACGGAUUUUACGAAACUCGAUCCUUAAGGGGGUAAAACGGGGGUUAGAAGUUUGUAUGAAAGUCCUAUGUUUUUGAAGUAAGAGACUUGAAAUAUAAAAUGUAUGCUCUAUAGAUGGUGAGAAGGUGUCCAAAUAAUGCAUCGUAAUCUAUAUAUAAUUAUAAAAGAGAAAGGUCACUAACUCACUC